rnacentral:rRNA from 1 species
CGCUGGCGGCGUGGAUAAGACAUGCAAGUCGAACGCUAAUUUCAGGGUAGCAAUAUUCUGAGGUUGGAGUGGCGCAAGGGUGCGUAACACGUGGGUAAUUUGCCAUAAAGUUGGGGAUAACUCGCUGAAAGGCGAGCUAAUACCGAAUAUGAUCAUUGGGUGGCAUCAUUUGAUGAUCAAAGUUGGGGAUCGUAAGACCUGACGCUUUACGAUAAGCCCGCGGCCUAUCAGCUAGUUGGUGAGGUAACGGCUCACCAAGGCUAAGACGGGUAGCUGGUCUGAGAGGACGACCAGUCACACUGGAACUGAGACACGGUCCAGACACCUACGGGUGGCAGCAGUCGAGAAUUUUUCUCAAUGGGCGAAAGCCUGAAGGAGCGACGCCGCGUGGGGGGUGAAGGGCUUCGGCCCGUAAACCCCUGUCAUUUGCGAACAAACCUUACGACCUAACACGUCGUGAGCUGAUUGUAGCGAAAGAGGAAGGGACGGCUAACUCUGUGCCAGCAGCCGCGGUAAUACAGAGGUCCCAAGCGUUGUUCGGAUUCACUGGGCGUAAAGGGUGCGUAGGUGGCGAGGUAAGUUUGAUGUGAAAUCUCCGGGCUUAACCCGGAAAUGGCAUUGAAUACUAUCUUGCUUGAGGUUUGGAAGGGGGACUGGAAUUCUCGGUGUAGCAGUGAAAUGCGUAGAUAUCGAGAGGAACACCAGUGGCGAAGGCGAGUCCCUGGACGAC